rnacentral:rRNA from 1 species
UACGUAGGGGGCAAGCGUUGUCCGGAAUCAUUGGGCGUAAAGAGCGUGUAGGCGGCCAGAUAAGUCCGCUGUGAAAUCUCGAGGCUCAACUUCGAGCUGUCGGUGGAAACUGUCUGGCUAGAGUCCGGAAGAGGCGAGUGGAACUCCUGGUGUAGCGGUGGAAUGCGCAGAUAUCAGGAAGAACACCGGCGGCGAAGGCAGCUCGCUGGGCCGUUACUGACGCUGAGGCGCGAAAGCGUGGGGAGCGAACAGG